GGGAAGGGGAAGGUGCCUUUCCGCAUUUGGUGUAGUCCCGCAUUCUGCCAUAUGAUGGCGCCAGAGAACGCGCCUACCGGGAUAGGGAGGGGCAAGGAGGCGAGGAAGGAAAAAAAAGAGACAAGUGAAGAUUGACAUCCAUUAAGGCCAAUGGUAGCUCAAUCUUCUGUUCUCUGACUCCCAAGCUUCCCAUUCUCUUAGGAGGCUGCAUUUGUGGCGCUAAAAAAAGGGAUGGGCGUGGGAGAUUCCAGGACUUGUGCUCGCUGAAGAUACAACUGUUAGUCCAAGGGGUGACCCUGGAGAUCAUUACCAAAAUUUAAAAAUUUCACCACUGGGCACACAUGUUACCCUUCUCGUGAUGGCAUGGCAAAGCUUGAUUUGCAAGAGUUUCUUUUGGAUUGUCCCCAAUGAUUCCCUUUAAAAAUAGGAGCUCCUUCAAGCUCCUGUAUCAGCAGUGCUUGCACCUCAUAGGUGAUGAUCAUGAGGGGGACAAGGAGCCUCUAGACUUAAGAGACAAGUUGCCAGCAUUCUCCAGAUGGAGUGUUUCCCUCCGCAGCACCCCCUGCUGGUCAGUUUGACAAGCAGGUGAACAGAAGUUCUCAAAUACACAAUAGUAGAUUCUAUCAAUCAAGUUUCAUAAAGAGUUCUGAUUCCCAGAGAUAGCAGAUUCUGUCAACCACAUUUCAUAAAGAGUUCUGAUUCUAAGAGAGCCAUACACCUGAAGGAGGGAUGGAAAGACUAGGAGAGCCUGGGAUCCUCAGAGAUGGAGAUCUGGAUGUGAAGAGAAAGAGAAAAACAAAAGUCAACAGACAGUACUGUGACCAAGUCAGUGAUGGUGAGAUCAGCAGCAUCUCUAGGACCCUUCUGAUUGACAUGAAGUCACCAUCAAGUAGGCAGAACUCACAGGACUUAUGGAGCAAGGAUGACUGACACAAACACAAAAAUCAUUCUGCCUGUUGAAUGAAUCAUAAAAUACUGUCUUUGAUCCAGGAGGCUUGUGUCAUCUGCCAGCAUUUAUGAAACUGUGCUCCAAGUAGGCUCCUGUAUCAGCAGUGCUUGCCCCUGAUAGAUGAUGAUCAUGGGGGGACCAGGAGCCUCUAGACUUAGAGAACUUUCCCCACCCUCCCUGUGGAGUGUUUCCCUCCCCAGCACCCCCUGCUGGUCAGUUUGACAAACAGAUGAACAGAAGUUCUCAAAUACACAGUAAGCAGAUAACCCCAACAUCACCAGAAAUAUCAACUUGUGAUGGCAUUUUGUCAAGUUGUCUUUGUUAUCGGCAUCAUCUGUUGCUUUCUGAGGGAAGUAUUUUGAGUUCUCCUACUGAGACUGUGGAUUUGCCUAUUUCUUUUUGUAUGUCAGCUUUUGCCAUAUGUAUUUUGUAGUUGUGUUGUGAGGAAGAUUCAUGACUUAUCUUGUGGGAGAAUUCUGUAUUUAGCAGAUUUUCGUCUUAAGUUCUGUUUUGCUUAGUAUUGAUGUUAUUACUUUGCUUUUUCAGUUUCAAAAUCAUUUAGUAUAUCUUUUUCCUUUCUUUUAGCCUUUGUGUUUUUAUUUCAGAUGUGCUUUCUUAUGUACUGACUGUGAUCCCCAAAUUCAUAUGUUGAAGUCCCAACUCCAAAUGUAUUUGGAGGUGGGCCUUUCAGAC
rnacentral:lncRNA from 1 species